rnacentral:rRNA from 1 species
UACAGAGGUCUCAAGCGUUGUUCGGAUUCAUUGGGCGUAAAGGGUGCGUAGGCGGCGCGGUAAGUCGGGUGUGAAAUCUCGGAGCUUAACUCCGAAACUGCAUUGGAUACUAUCCGGCUAGAGGAAUGGAGGGGAGACUGGAAUUCUCGGUGUAGCAGUGAAAUGCGUAGAUAUCGAGAGGAACACCAGUGGCGAAGGCGAGUCUCUGGACAUUUCCUGACGCUGAGGCACGAAAGCCAGGGGAGCGAACGGG